UUAACAAAAAUUAAUUUUUUUUUAGUUAAUGAGCUUGAAUAAGCUUAU
rnacentral:tRNA from 1 species